GCCAGGUAUGGUGGCCCAUGCCUGUAAUCCCAGCUACUUGGGAGGCUGAGACAGGAGAAUCGCUUGAACCCAGGAGGCGGAGGCUGCAGUGAGCCAAGAUCCCGCCACUGCACUCCAGCCUGGGUGAUAGAAUGAGACUCCGUCUCUA
rnacentral:SRP_RNA from 1 species